rnacentral:rRNA from 1 species
CACGUAGGGGACGAGCGUUGUCCGGAAUCACUGGGCGUAAAGGGCGUGUAGGCGGUCAGGUAAGUGGGAUGUGAAAUGCCCCGGCUCACCCGGGGACCGGCAUCCCAUACUGCUUGGCUUGAGUACGGGAGAGGAUGUGGGAAUUCCUGGUGUAGCGGUGAAAUGCGUAGAUAUCAGGAGGAACACCGGUGGCGAAGGCGCACAUCUGGCCCGAUACUGACGCUGAGGCGCGAAAGCUAGGGGAGCAAACGGG